GGCACUUGUACCCGUUGCGGCGCAACGAUGCUAAAAGA
rfam:Photobacterium marinum strain AK15 contig6, whole genome shotgun sequence.